rnacentral:rRNA from 1 species
ACCGGCGCAAGGGUGCGUAACGCGUGAGCAACAUGCCCGUAUCAGGGGGAUAAUCCAGGGAAACUUGGUCUAAUACCCCAUAGCAAUUGAAGGAGGCAUCUUCUUUGAUUUAAAGCUUUGGUGGAUACGGAUUGGCUCGCGUGACAUUAGCUAGAUGGUAAGGUAACGGCUUACCAUGGCUACGAUGUCUAGGGGUUCUGAGAGGAAGGUCCCCCACACUGGAACUGAGACACGGUCCAGACUCCUACGGGAGGCAGCAGUGAGGAAUAUUGGACAAUGGAUGGAAAUCUGAUCCAGCCAUGCCGCGUGCAGGAAGACGGCCCUAUGGGUUGUAAACUGCUUUUAUAUGGGAGCAAUAAGACCUACGUGUAGGUCGAUGAGAGUACCAUAUGAAUAAGCACCGGCUAACUCCGUGCCAGCAGCCGCGGUAAUACGGAGGGUGCAAGCGUUAUCCGGAUUUAUUGGGUUUAAAGGGUGCGUAGGCGGUUUGAUAAGUCAGCGGUGAAAUAUUUCAGCUUAACUGGAAGGGUGCCGUUGAUACUGUCGAGCUUGAAUUUAGUUGCUGUGGGUGGAAUGUGUGGUGUAGCGGUGAAAUGCAUAGAUAUCACACAGAAUAUCGAUUGCGAAGGCAGCUCACAAAGCUAAUAUUGACGCUGAUGCACGAAAGUGUGGGGAUCAAACAGGAUUAGAUACCCUGGUAGUCCACACUGUAAACGAUGAUAACUCGCUGUCGGCGAUACACAGUCGGUGGCCAAGCGAAAGCGAUAAGUUAUCCACCUGGGGAGUACGACCGCAAGGUUGAAACUCAAAGGAAUUGACGGGGGCCCGCACAAGCGGAGGAACAUGUGGUUUAAUUCGAUGAUACGCGAGGAACCUU